UAAACAACUAACAGUUACACAAAACUAUCUAAAAAAUACAGAAUAAGCCUGCACAAAAAAAUGAGAUGAGAACAGGGUAAGUGUAUAGAAAGUCGUAAUUUCACCACAAUAGUGAAUAGUACAGUG